AUUUUGUGGGAACCUAUUGGGAACCUCUGUGGAUCCAUCUGGCAGCACUAAGUUUAACCUUGCUACUAUAGAGGAAGAAUAUAGAUACAAUUUUUUGUCAUCUGUAUCUUCUCCUUCUUUAUGGGAGGAAAUCCUCAUAAACAUUUCAUUGUCCGCACCUGCUAAAAUCAAGUGGAUCUGGCUUCCACUGAUUAUAAGUGGAAUAACUAAUCUCCUGAUUGCAUCCAGUGCCUCUUUGCUGAUUCCUAGGCAGGCUUUUCUGCCCAGUUCUCGGAGCUCUUUUUAACGGAAAUGACCGCUACAUGCAUUAAAGGAACAGGAACAUUAUGCAAGCCCUGAUGAAGCACACAUAGUGCGAAACUAGUUGGCAAAAUUCGCAUUAAUCUUCCUUAAAAUAACCAAUCUCCCCUAUACCUUGUUUUUCAUGUAAUUGUGGUUCUGACCAUAUAUAUAUUUCUCAUUGUGUUAAUGACUGUAUGAAAUAUGAUAUUUUAUAUUUAU